AGUGAACGCUGGCGGCGUGCCUAAUACAUGCAAGUCGAACGGAGUGGCGCACGGGUGAGUCAUAUAUAGCUAAUCUGCCCCUUGCUGGAGGACAACAGUUAGAAAUGACUGCUAAUACUCCAUAGCAAGGGAUGUGACUAUAUCGUAUCAGCUAGUCGGUGGGGUAACGGCCUACCGAGGCUAUGACGCGUAACUGGUCUAAGAGGAUAAUCAGUCACAUUGGAAGUGAGGCACGGGCCAAACACCUACGGGAGGCAGCAGUAGGGAAUAUUACGCAAUGGGGGAAAGCCUGACGCAGCUACGCCUCGUGGAGGAUGACACUUUGCGGGGCGUAAACUCCUUUUGUUAGGGAAGCGGUACCUAACGAAUAAGCACCGGCUAACUCCGUGCCAGCAGCCGCGGUAAUAC
rnacentral:rRNA from 1 species